CGAAAUGAAAGAAGAAUUUUUCCCACUUAUACACCAUCGUAUCCUUUCCCUUCGCUAAAUAUAUAUCUCUCUCUUUCGUUUUACAAAUUCUUUUUCCUUUCUUUUAUACGCUCUUUUAUUUCAUGCAUAUUGGCAGACGAGGAAUUUUCGUAUGGACAACAGUCGGCUUAGCGUGGAGGUACUUUAUCAUUCCCAUCAAUCAUGAUGCUCGCUUCCCAAUCUCGAUUGUACCAACGAGUAACUUUUUAUUUACAUCCUGAUGCAAAAUCCCAAUGAGUCAAGUUCAGUCUCUUCUUUUCUUUGUACGAUGACUACAGCUGGAGAGAAAAAAUAAAAAGAAAAAGCUUCCAUUGACAAUUCUAGCUGUUCCUGCUUUUUUAAAACCUCCGUUUUCUCAUCUGUAUUGAGAUCAAAAUCACCGAUGCAUGCCUUCAAAGCUCAAUCCGAUUACAAUAUCCUGAUCCAUCAAAAAAGAUGAACAGGCCGGAAAUGAUAUGUUGGAACGUGCAUUAGUCUCUUUACUGCUGUACAAGAAAAAAAUAAAAGAAAAUGAGAUAAAGUGAAACUCACGCAAGGAAAUACAUCAUGUAUCCGGGGACUGGAGAACUGAGAUAGACAUGCGAUCUGGCAUAACGAAAAAGGCAUGGGAUGAUCAACACUAGAUUUAGGAAUUUCUCCUCGGCGCGGAGAUGCCAUAAUUUGUUAUUUCGAAAAGGAAAAAAAAAAAAAAAAGAGAGAAAAAGGAAGAAAAUGAAAGAAAAGCCUUACGAAAGAGAAUCGUAUUCGUUUUCAUCUUCUUAUCCUUACAUAUCUCUGUGGAGUUUUCGAUCUCUGGUACGAAAACGUAUCGCUUAAGGAUUCGCGUACACGUUGACGAUCUAGUAACAGUUCCGAUAGAGUAUGACACGCACGAAGAAAUAGAGUAGGAUUCCGAUUCCUGGGGCUUUUCAUUUCUCUCUUUCCUUUUCUUUAACAAUCUCGACGAAUGGCAAUCAUCAUGCGCCAUCAAGAGAUGAUGGGAUUUCUUUUUCUUCCUCUCUCGAUUAAACUUUCAUAUAUUUUAUUCUUUAUUAUAGUAUCGUAGAAAUAUUAGUUUCAGAUGAUGUUAGGGGCGCUGUAUAUAGUUCGUGAACGAAAGAUGGACGAAUCGAAACAGUGACGGACACGAAAUAAUAAAUGAACACAGGUAAUCAUCCGUUACAUGAAACGGACAACUCACGACAUCGAGAACACUCAUGUUCUUAACAUGUUUCGUCGUUAUUCGUGAAUACAAUCUUCGUACCAUCGAGCACAUGCAUAUCUGCAACGUCGGUCACGACCGCGACGAACGCCAACGAACGUCCAACAAUCAUUCGUAUGUCGCGCAUUUUCUCUUUGUAUCUUGUCUCCGACUUUUGAUACCCGACUCGCAAACGUUCGAUUUAAGAAUAACGACGGGAAUUACAAAACAAAAAAAAAAAGGAUCGAAUAUACGAAGAGUAACAAUACGCAACGCAAGCAAUAUUUGAUUUAUGAAUGACCCUCUGUCAGAUAUGAUACAGAAAUUGUAUCUGUGGAUCAAUAUGCGUUUAAAAUGUCGCUGUUCAUGUUUCCUGCAGUUCACACGUUGAUGUGCAAUUAGAUGCGUUUUUCAUCGAUCCACGACUUAAGCGUUCAGGGUAAUCUUAUUUUAUAUAUAAUAAUUUUUUUUACUUUUAUAAUGAAAACGACAAGGAUAUCCCGA